rnacentral:rRNA from 1 species
AAGCAUGGCAGUCGAACGAGAAGCGGGCUUCGGCCCGUGGACAGUGGCGAAAGGGUGAGUAACGCGUUCCUUACGUACCCCGAGGUGGGGGGUAGGUCGGAGAAAUCCGGCGUAAUACCCCAUAUCUUCUCCGGAAGAAAGGCUUCGGCCGCCUCGGGAGCGGGGAGCGUCCCAUCAGGUUGUUGGUGAGGUAAAGGCUCACCAAGCCAAAGACGGGUAGCGGGUGUGAGAGCAUGGCCCGCCACAUCGGGACUGAGACACUGCCCGGACUCCUACGGGAGGCUGCAGCGACGAAUAUUCCGCAAUGCGCGAAAGCGUGACGGAGCAAUGCCGCGUGCAGGAUGAAGCGGCUUCGCCGUGUAAACUGCUGUCAGGGUGCAGGAAUACUGACCAUACCCAAAGGAAGGACCGGCUAACCUCGUGCCAGCAGCCGCGGUAAUACGAGGGGUCCAAGCGUUAAUCGGAAUCACUGGGCUUAAAGGGUACGUAGGCGGCCCUGUAAGCAUCUCGUGAAAUCCCACGGCUCAACCGUGGAAUUGCGGGGUGAACUACAGGGCUUGGGGCAGGUAGAGGUUGUCGGAACGAUCGGUGGAGCGGUGAAAUGCGUUGAUAUCGAUCGGAACGCCAAAGGAGAAGUCAGGCAACUGGGCCUGUCCUGACGCUGAGGUACGAAAGCGUGGGUAGCGAACGGGAUUAGAUACCCCGGUAGUCCACGCCCUAAACGAUGUGCACUAGAUCGAGGCGGCUCUGACGUCGUCUCGGCCGAAGCGAAAGCGUUAAGUGCACCGCCUGGGGAGUACGGCCGCAAGGCUAAAACUCAAAGGAAUUGACGGGGGCUCACACAAGCGGUGGAGCAUGUGGCUU